rnacentral:rRNA from 1 species
GACGUAGGGCGCGAGCGUUGUCCGGAUUUAUUGGGCGUAAAGAGCUCGUAGGCGGCUUGUCGCGUCGUCUGUGAAAUCCCGCGGCUCAACUGCGGGUCUGCAGUCGAUACGGGCAGGCUAGAGUUCGGUAGGGGAGACUGGAAUUCCUGGUGUAGCGGUGAAAUGCGCAGAUAUCAGGAAGAACACCAAUGGCGAAAGCAGCUUUCUGGGACGGUACUGACGCUGAGACGCGAAAGCGUGGGGAGCGAACAGG